rnacentral:rRNA from 1 species
GACAGAGGGUGCAACCGUUGCUCGGAAUUACUGGGCGUAAAGCGCGUGUAGGCGGACCAGCAAGUCGGACGUGAAAUCCCUGAGCUCAACUCAGGAACUGCAUCCGAAACUGCUGGUCUGGAGUGGUGGAGAGGGAAGCAGAAUUCCUGGUGUAGAGGUGAAAUUCGUAGAUAUCAGGAGGAACACCGGUGGCGAAGGCGGCUUCCUGGACACUUACUGACGCUGAGACGCGAAAGCGUGGGGAGCAAACAGG